ACAACGCUGGCGGCGUGCUUAACACAUGCAAGUCGAACGGGGCGAAGUGAUAGCUUGCUAUUAUGGAGCCUAGUGGCGAACGGGUGAGUAACGCGUGAGAAACCUGCCUUUCAGUGGGGGACAACAGUUGGAAACGACUGCUAAUACCGCAUAAUGUUAUUUGGGGGGCAUCCUUGAAUAACCAAAGCUUUAUGUGCUGAAAGAUGGUCUCGCGUCUGAUUAGCUAGUUGGUGAGGUAACGGCUCACCAAGGCGACGAUCAGUAGCCGGUCUGAGAGGAUGAACGGCCACAUUGGGACUGAGAUACGGCCCAGACUCCUACGGGAGGCAGCAGUGGGGAAUAUUGGGCAAUGGGGGAAACCCUGACCCAGCAACGCCGCGUGAAGGAAGAAGGCCCUCGGGUUGUAAACUUCUUUUAGCAGGGACGAAGAACGUGACGGUACCUGCAGAAAAAGCAACGGCUAACUACGUG
rnacentral:rRNA from 1 species